rnacentral:rRNA from 1 species
UGCAAGUCGAACGAGAAACAUGAAUAGCUUGCUAAUUGUGUUUCUAGUGGCGGACGGGUUAGUAACACGUGAGCAACCUGCCUCGAGGUGGGGGAUAGCCACCCGAAAGGGUGAUUAAUACCGCAUGUGAUCUUCGGAUCAAAGGUGCCUUCGGGUAUCGCUUCGAGAUGGGCUCGCGGCCUAUCAGCUAGAUGGUGAGGUAACGGCUCACCAUGGCAACGACGGGUAGCUGUUCUGAGAGGAAGAUCAGCAACACUGGAACUGAGACACGGUCCAGACACCUACGGGUGGCAGCAGUCGAGAAUCAUUCACAAUGGGGGAAACCCUGAUGGUGCAACGCCGCGUGGAGGAUGAAGGCCCUAGGGUCGUAAACUCCUGUCAUAUGAGAGUAAGGCAUAAUAGGUUAAGAGCUAAUUAUGUUUGAUAGUAUCAUAAGAGGAAGGGACGGCUAACUUCGUGCCAGCAGCCGCGGUAAUACGAAGGUCCCGAGCGUUAUUCGGAAUCACUGGGCGUAAAGAGUACGUAGGCGGUCAGGUAAGUCAGGUGUGAAAUCCCGGGGCUCAACCCCGGAACUGCAUCCGAUACUGCUUGACUGGAGUCAUGGAGGGGCAGGUGGAAUUCUCGGUGUAGCAGUGAAAUGCGUGGAUAUCGAGAGGAAGACCAAUGGCGAAGCCAGCCUGCUGGACAUAGACUGACGCUGA